rnacentral:lncRNA from 1 species
CGUUGGAAGGCCAAGGCGGGCAGGCAGAUCACCUGAGGUCAGGAAUUCAAGACCAGCCCCGCUGUAGUAGAGAAACCCCAUCUCUACCAAAAAUACAAAAAUUAGCCAAGUGUUGUGGUGUGUCCGGAAUGAGUGGGUUCUUGGUCUCGCUGCCUUCAAGAAUAAAGCCGCAGACCUUCAGGGACAUCAGCUCCAAGAGGACAAGAAUCCUGUUUUGUUCACACAUGUUACCUGAAUGCCUCGAACGGUGCCUGGCACAUAAAAGACGCUUAACAAAUAUUUGUUGAAUAAAAAAAUGAAUUUGUGCAUUGCAUUGGCUCUGAGUGUGAUGCUUCCCUAAACCAGUUCCCCCACUCCCCUACAAUUCCUCUCUUAAUAUUUGUUUUAAGCUACGAUGUUCUUUAGAAUUGUUUUUUCUCUUAAAUAUGACCCCUGUUGCUUUCUCUCUUUAGGAAUAAUUCCAAGUUUCUGGUUCAUUAAUGAAGCUUUUUAUUAUUUCCUCACACUGUUAUAGAUUUGUUUUUUUUAAUUUGUUAAAAGGUACAACAUUACAGCUAAGAGGAACAAGUUCUAGUGUUCUAUAAUACUGCACGAUGACUAUAGUUAACAAUAAUAUAGUAUAUAGUUUCAAAGAGCUAGAAAGAGGAUAUUGAACGUUCUCACACGAAGAAAUGACAAAUGUUUGAGGUGAUGGACAUGUAAACUACCUUGAUGUGAUCGCCAUACAUUAUAUAUAUAUUGAAACAUUACUAUGUACUCCUUGAAUAUAUACAACUAUUAUUUGUCAAUUAAUAGAAUAGAAUGAAAUAAAUAAUAAUAAAUGACUAUACCUCUCCACC